UACGGAGGGUGCAAGCGUUGCUCGGAAUUAUUGGGCGUAAAGGGUAGGUAGGUGGUCUCAUUUGUCAGGGGUGAAAGCCUUGGGCUUAACUCAAGAAGUGCCCCUGAAACGGUGAGACUAGAGUCCUGGAGAGGGUCGUGGAAUUCCCGGUGUAGCGGUGAAAUGCGUAGAGAUCGGGAGGAACACCAGAGGCGAAGGCGGCGACCUGGACAGGUACUGACACUCAACUACGAAAGCGUGGGGAGCAAACAGG
rnacentral:rRNA from 1 species